rnacentral:rRNA from 1 species
UACGAAGGGUGCAAGCGUUAAUCGGAAUUACUGGGCGUAAAGGGUGCGUAGGCGGUUGUUUAAGUCUGUCGUGAAAUCCCCGGGCUCAACCUGGGAAUGGCGAUGGGAACUGGGCAGCUAGAGUGUGUCAGAGGAUGGUGGAAUUCCCGGUGUAGCGGUGAAAUGCGUAGAGAUCGGGAGGAACAUCAGUGGCGAAGGCGGCCAUCUGGGACAACACUGACGCUGAAGCACGAAAGCGUGGGGAGCAAACAGG